GUGGGGAAUUUUGGACAAUGGGCGAAAGCCUGAUCCAGCAAUGCCGCGUGAGUGAAGAAGGCCCUUGGGUUGUAAAGCUCUUUCGGCUGGGAAGAAGGAAGUGCGGCUAAUAUCCGCGCUGACAGACGGUACCAGCAUAAGAAGCACCGGCUAACUACGUGCCAGCAGCCGCGGUAAUACGUAGGGUGCAAGCGUUAAUCGGAAUUACUGGGCGUAAAGGGUGUGUAGGCGGUUUAUUAAGUCUGAUGUGAAAGCCCCGGGCUCAACCUGGGAACUGCGUUGGAUACUGGUAAACUAGAGUACGUAAGAGGGGGGUGGAAUUCCACGUGUAGCAGUGAAAUGCGUAGAGAUGUGGAGGAACACCGAUGGCGAAGGCAACCCCCUGGGACGAUACUGACGCUGAGGCACGAAAGCGUGGGGAGCAAACAGG
rnacentral:rRNA from 1 species